rnacentral:rRNA from 1 species
CGUGCUUACACAUGCAAGUCGAACGAUGAACCGGCUUCGGUCGGGGAUUAGUGGCGAACGGGUGAGUAACACGUGGGCAAUCUGCCCUUCACUCUGGGACAAGCCCUGGAAACGGGGUCUAAUACCGGAUAUGACACGGGGUCGCAUGAUCUCCGUGUGGAAAGCUCCGGCGGUGAAGGAUGAGCCCGCGGCCUAUCAGCUUGUUGGUGAGGUAUGGCUCACCAAGGCGACGACGGGUAGCCGGCCUGAGAGGGCGACCGGCCACACUGGGACUGAGACACGGCCCAGACUCCUACGGGAGGCAGCAGUGGGGAAUAUUGCACAAUGGGCGAAAGCCUGAUGCAGCGACGCCGCGUGAGGGAUGACGGCCUUCGGGUUGUAAACCUCUUUCAGCAGGGAAGAAGCGAGAGUGACGGUACCUGCAGAAGAAGCGCCGGCUAACUACGUGCCAGCAGCCGCGGUAAUACGUAGGGCGCGAGCGUUGUCCGGAAUUAUUGGGCGUAAAGAGCUCGUAGGCGGCUUGUCGCGUCGGAUGUGAAAGCCCGGGGCUUAACCCCGGGUCUGCAUUCGAUACGGGCAGGCUAGAGUUCGGUAGGGGAG